ACUCCUACGGGAGGCAGCAGUGGGGAAUCUUGGACAAUGGGGGCGAACCCUGAUCCAGCCAUGCCGCGUGAGUGAUGAAGGCCUUAGGUCGUAAAGCUCUUUCGCCUGUGAUGAUAAUGACAGUAGCAGGUAAAGAAACCCCGGCUAACUCCGUGCCAGCAGCCGCGGUAAUACGGAGGGGGUUAGCGUUGUUCGGAAUUACUGGGGCGUAAAGCGCGCGUAGGCGGAUUAGUCAGUUAGAGGUGAAAUCCCAGGGGCUCAACCCUGGAACUGCCUUUAAUACUGCUAGUCUUGAGUUCGAGAGAGGUGAGUGGAAUUCCGAGUGUAGAGGUGAAAUUCGUAGAUAUUCGGAGGAACACCAGUGGCGAAGGCGGCUCACUGGCUCGAUACUGACGCUGAGGUGCGAAAGCGUGGGGGAGCAAACAGGAUUAGAUACCCGUGGUAGACAUCAC
rnacentral:rRNA from 1 species